rnacentral:sRNA from 1 species
UAAGGUUCGAUUCGAGCGAAAGCGAGAAAGCUUUGCCGCAGGCAACGACCCGAAGGGCGAAACGCGCAGCGCUGAGUCAUCCUUCCCCCACCACCA